UACGAAGGGGGCGAGCGUUGUUCGGAAUCAUUGGGCGUAAAGGGCGCGUAGGCGGGUUUGUAAGUCGAUUGUGAAAUCCCUAGGCUUAACCUGGGAAUUGCAGUCGAAACUGCAAGUCUUGAGUUCUCGAGAGGAUGGUGGAAUUCCUGGAGUAGUAGUGAAAUACGUAGAUAUCAGGAGGAACACCGGAGGCGAAGGCGGCCAUCUGGCGAGACACUGACGCUAAGGCGCGAAAGCGUGGGUAGCAAACAGG
rnacentral:rRNA from 1 species